rnacentral:misc_RNA from 1 species
UCAGGAGGCCUUGGAAUUCCCGACAACAAUAACUAGAGAAGUUGUUCGGAGCCCAAUGGUAGAAGCACAAUGCUCGGUGCAGUUAUGCUUUCCUGUCGAGUUAAAGAAUGAAAACAUGAUGGAAGAUGUUCAUUUUGUUGGAUUUUUGAGUAAGCUUCUGGAAACAAAGAUAGUACAGGUUCUCCGCUUCAAGUAUGGACAGAUUUAUUCUGCUGGAGUUUCUGUCUUUCUUGGCGGCAAUAAGCCCUCCAGAGUCGGCAAUAUCCGUGGAGAUAUUAGUAUAAAUUUCUCCUGUGAUCCAGACAUCUCAUCGACAUUGGUUGAUCUUGCUUUGGAAGAAAUACUACAUCUUCAAGAGGAAGGACCUUCAAUUGAAGAUGCUAUGGCCGUGCUAGAAAUUGAGCAAAGAGCCCAUGAAAAUGGGUUACAGGAGAAUUACUAUUGGCUAGAUAGAAUUUUGCGCAGUUACCAGUCACGGAUAUAUUCUGGUGAUAUUGGCAAUUCUUUUAAGAUCCAAGAGGCUGCACGUUCCAAAGUGAGAAGCAUCUUGACGCCAUUAACUGCCCAACUAGCCUUGCAAAAACUUUUGCCGUUCCCUUGUAAAAAGCAGUAUACUGUAGUAAUUUUGAUGCCUCAGGCAUCUCGUAUUAAAAGGUUGAAGUCAUUGAUGCAAUCUGUACCCAAAAGUUAUUCAAGAGAUGCAAAGAUACUGGCUGGAAUUGCUGGUGUGACGAUUUUAUCCCUCAGUUUAUGGAAAUACUCACGAAGUACUCUGAAAUCGUAGAAGAGAUCUUUGCUGAGAAAAUAGACUUGGAAGGGAACUGUUCUACACUUGCUUAUCCAACCCAAAAGUAGUACAGUCCAAUGGCUUGCAGGAGAGACUUCCUCACAUUUCUUUUGCCAAGACAUCUGUUCAUACUCUGCUUUGGCCUUCUUGUACCAUAUAUCGAUGCGCCAUUAUUAUCGGCGACUGUUAUAAUGAAACAUUAGGUUGUGUCAGGAUUAAUACCCUUAGAGAGUUGAUAACCAUUGUGCUUGCACUACUGUAUCAACCAAAGUCUUUAAAGAAUGUGUCUUCUUGGGUUUGAUCCCUACCUUAUAAUUG